rnacentral:rRNA from 1 species
AUUGAACGCUGGCGGCAGGCUUAACACAUGCAAGUCGAGCGGGGGAAGGUAGCUUGCUACCGGACCUAGCGGCGGACGGGUGAGUAAUGCUUAGGAAUCUGCCUAUUAGUGGGGGACAACAUCUCGAAAGGGAUGCUAAUACCGCAUACGUCCUACGGGAGAAAGCAGGGGAUCUUCGGACCUUGCGCUAAUAGAUGAGCCUAAGUCGGAUUAGCUAGUUGGUGGGGUAAAGGCCUACCAAGGCGACGAUCUGUAGCGGGUCUGAGAGGAUGAUCCGCCCCACUGGGCAUGAGACCCGGCCCAGACUCCUACGGGAGCCAGCAGUGGGGAAUAUUGGACAAUGGGGGGAACCCUGAUCCAGCCAUGCCGCGUGUGUGAAGAAGGCCUUAUGGUUGUAAAGCACUUUAAGCGAGGAGGAGGCUACUUUAGUUAAUACCUAGAGAUAGUGGACGUUACUCGCAGAAUAAGCACCGGCUAACUCUUUGCCAGCAGCCGCCGUAA